GUCCCCAAGUUAGUUCCCCUUUCUACCAUGGCGUCAUCAUUCCCCAAGGAAGCAACGCCCACACACCCAAUGGAACUCUGGGUUUACUUCUGAUUCCUUUCUCUCCUGCAAGUCCCCUAAAUUAGUCCUUCUCCUUAGUCAACUGUUUUCCAUAGUGCUUCCUUUUCCUCCUUUCCUUGUGAUUUGCUUUAGUCCAAAUCCUCAUUUUCUAGAUGACAAUCUCUGAGUGGGUCUCUCUUUUUUUUGGCCUCCACACAUUGGUCUGCUCCAGUCUGCCUUUCAUAUAUCAUUCAGUCAUGCUAUAUGAGACAAAAAUUUCUGGAGAGACAGAAGGAGUAUCCUUGAUUUAUAUUAAUACCUAGAAUGUAGAAUAUGGCAAUAUGCUGCAUG
rnacentral:lncRNA from 1 species